rnacentral:lncRNA from 1 species
GUCGUCGUCGUGGGAGGCAAGGACGGCAGCUUCUUCCUUUCGAGCAUUCACGGAAGGGGACGGGAGUCUUCAGAAAACAACGGCGAACACGGGACGGGCC